GAUGAACGCUAGCGACAGGCUUUAACACAUGCAAGUCGAGGGGCAGCGUGGUGUGGCAACACACUGACGGCGACCGGCGCACGGGUGAGUAAACGCGUAUGCAACUUGCCUAUCAGAGGGGGAUAACCCGUCGAAAGACGGACUAAUACCGCAUGAAACAGGGGUCCCGCAUGGGGAUAUUUGUUAAAGAUUACAUCGCUGAUAGAUAGGCAUGCGUUCCAUUAGGUAGUUGGUGGGGCAACGGCCCACCAAGCCGACGAUGGAUAGGGGUUCUGAGAGGAAGGUCCCCCACACUGGUACUGAGACACGGACCAGACUCCUACGGGAGGCAGCAGUGAGGAAUAUUGGUCAAUGGGCGUGAGCCUGAACCAGCCAAGUCGCGUGAGGGAUGAAGGCCCUACGGGUUGUAAACCUCUUUUAUAAGGGAAUAAAGGACAUCACGUGUGGUGUUUUGCAUGUACCUUAUGAAUAAAGCAUCGGCUAACUCCGUGCCAGCCGCCGCC
rnacentral:rRNA from 1 species